UGGGGAAUAUUGCACAAUGGGCGCAAGCCUGAUGCAGCGACGCCGCGUGAGGGAUGGAUGCCUUCGGGUUGUAAACCUCUUUCGCCAGUGAAGCAGGCCAUCUUCUUUGUGGGGUGGUUGACGGUAGCUGGAUAAGAAGCGCCGGCUAACUACGUGCCAGCAGCCGCGGUAAUACGUAGGGCGCGAGCGUUGUCCGGAAUUAUUGGGCGUAAAGAGCUCGUAGGCGGCUGGUCGCGUCUGUCGUGAAAUCCCCUGGCUUAACUGGGGGCUUGCGGUGGGUACGGGCCGGCUUGAGUGCGGUAGGGGAGACUGGAAUUCCUGGUGUAGCGGUGGAAUGCGCAGAUAUCAGGAGGAACACCGGUGGCGAAGGCGGGUCUCUGGGCCGUUACUGACGCUGAGGAGCGAAAGCGUGGGGAGCGAACAGG
rnacentral:rRNA from 1 species